rnacentral:lncRNA from 10 species
AGGCUCUUCUUCAGCAUCCAAUCACCCUAAAAGUUGAUGAGUUCUGGUGAUCCAAGGAAUUCCUGACAGUUUUGGGGAUCUUUGGAGUAGAUUUGGUAAGUAUUGGUAUAGUGAUCAAGGUCAUCUGUCAUAUCCUGUUAUCAUUAGGAAAAAGGAAAUAAAACACAUCCUUAUAUUUUAUGAUUACAUAUAAUUUUAUACUGUGAUAUUUCUAAGUAAUAAAAUAUUGGUAGUUUUAUUGGUGUAUCACAAUUAUUUCUUUUUUAUUGAUACAUAAUAUUUGUAAAAAAUGUGUAAUAUUUUGUUAUGUGCAUAGAAUGUUUAAUGAUCAAGUCAUAGUUUUCAUCAUCCAGAAUAAUUAUUAUUUCCAUGUGUUGAGAACAUUUCAAGUCCUCCUUCAAUCUACUUUGAAAUAUACAAUACAUUGCUGUUAACUAUAGUCAUCCUAUGUUAAACAUUAGAACUUAUUUCCUUUAUCUAACUGUGGGUUUGUAUGCAUAUAAUUAUUUCUGAAUUCUUUAAAUAAUGAGAUAAAGAUCAAAUAUUCAAUUUAUGUUGGAAAAUUCCAGAACAAUACUAUUCAUUAUCCACAUAUCACGUUAAAAUUUCAAAUAAAAGACAUAACCAUUUAGAAAGCAUUCUUCUUACCACCAUCAUCCUCAACAGGAAGAAGAGAAAGGCAAUUGACAAGGGAAAGCUUAUGUCACAAGAAUAAAUUUUACUACAGUUCAAAGACUUGCAGAAUACACAAACUAUGACCAUGGCAGUAUGAAACUUGAUAUUGAUACCAAAGAAGAUUAAAAACUAAUUCAAAAUGCCUUCUUUAAAAAAUAUGUUGGUUAAACCAGUUGCAGUUCCAGAGAAACAAACAAUCCACUUACACGGAAAGAGCUUCUCAAAUUAGUAAAUGACAGAUACAAUUAUUUACAGGAAGAAGGUGGAUGAAAAUAUUACCACAACUAUUAUAGAAUUAAAAAACUUUUUAAAAAGUUGGAAAAUGUUGCACAAAAAACCCACUCACAAGUCAGCAAUGAUACCACUGACACAUUUUGUUGCUUAAGACCACAUUUAAUAAAAGAUCAAAUAAUUUUAUUUCAGUUUAGUUUUCAUACCAUAAAUUUAUUCAUUUCAUAUAUUGUUUAUUUUUUUAUUUUGAUUGGCAAAUAAAUGAUUGCAUAUAUUUAUUAACAAUAUGUUGUGUUGAAAUAUGUAUACAUUUUGAAAUGGCUAAAUCAGGGUAAUUAGCAUACAUAUUGCUUCCCCUAUGUUGAACCUGGAGGACAUUAUACUUAGUGAAAUAAGCCAAACACAGGCAGAUACCUCAUGAUCUCCUUUGUAUGUAGAAUGUAAAAAUGGUGAACUCAUAGAAGUAGAGAGUAGAAUGGUAGUUAUCAGCAGGUAAGGUGGGGGAAAGUAGAGGAAUUGGGUAGUUGUUAGUCAAAAGAUAUGAAACUUCAGUUAUAAUAGUUAUAAUAGGAGGAAUAAGUUCAAGAGACAUAUUGUACAACUCGGUGACUAUAGUUAAUAACAAUGUAUUGUAUUCUUGAAAAUUGCUGAGAGAGUAGAUUUUAAGUGUUCUCACAACAAAGUGAUUUUUAAAUAACUUUAUUAGCAUUAAAAGUAUAUUUGUGUUUUCUGAUGUUUUGAAAUAAGCUUAUGCAUUUUUAUCUUGAAAUGUGUUAAUUGUUUAGUUUCAAUAAUUUUAAGUGUUUCCUCAAAUGUGUAUAGAAGUUCUAUCAUUAUAGUUUUGCUUUUCAUAGUUGAUAUGGUUUGGCUGUGUCCCCACCCAAAUCUCACCUUGAAUUAUAGUUCUCAUAAUCCCCACGUGUAAUGAGAGGGACCAGAUGGAGACAAUUGAAUCAUUGGGGUGGUUUCCCCCACCGUGUCUUUGUGAUAGUAAGUUUUCAUGAGAUCUGAUGGUUUUAUAAGGGGCUUCCCCAUUUGCUUGACUGUCAUUCUUUCUCCUGCCACCAUGUGAAGAAGGUCGUGUUUGCUUCCCCUUCUGUCAGGACUGUAAGUUUCCCGAGGCCUUCCCAGCCAUGCUGAACUAUGAGUCAAUUAAACGUCUUU